rnacentral:lncRNA from 1 species
GGUGGUUGGGUGGUUGGGGGGAACUCCUCCCCUUUUCAUUCCCUCUGGCUAUUCUCCAGGUUUACAGUCAUGUUGCCACACUAUGUCAACAGCCCAGAUGUAACCCCUCAGCUGUCUUGUGCAACACUGCAUUUCUUCCUGAAGAAGCAGGAAAACACAACUGAAUUUUCAGGAACCAGCAGUGACAGAAAGUUGAGCUGAGCCUACUUUGCUUGAAUGCUUUUUUGGAACAUGCAGUGCCCAUAAACGUGUUCUUUGCUGUCCCACGUGCCAGAGAUUCCAGAGGCUGCACUGCAGCUACCCAGGACAAGGAAUAAAAUAAUAGGAAAGUCAUCAUCACCUCAGCCAAAUGACUGGAAUUCAGCCCAAGAUUCCAUUUUUUUAAUGUGCUGCAAUAAUUCAAAAUUGAAACCUGAAUGGUCUUGACAUUGUUUCUGUAUUGUGAAAAUAUUUAAGGUGCUUGGAUGCCUAAAUUUCACCAAAUUUCUAUACCUGCUCAAAAGCAAACCUUGGAAAAAAAUUAAAAUUUACUAAUGUGUUUAGUCAUAUAUGGAUAAUUCUAAAAGGAAUCUCCUUAUUUAAACUUAAUUCCUAUUGAAUUUAUAUUCUCUUAUACUAUAUAUAUUAUAUAUAUAAUAUAGUCUAUUUUUUUCAUAAUACUACAUAUAUAAUAUAUAUUUUAUAUAUAUAAUACUUAUUAUUAUUGAAUUCCUAUUGUUUUUAAAACAUAAAAGGAGAUAGCUGGACAGCAUGCCAGGUGCAUUGGUGUACCAAAUUCAAAGAUUUUUUUUAAAUAGUAAGGUCAUUUAUUUAGGUAUUAGAUUAAGAGCCUAGAUUUUUCAAAUCAUCUUCCCUCCAAUGUGAACAGGAAAUUUCCUCACAUCAUCCUUCCUCAGGGUCUAGUUUUCUACGGAAGUAGGAAUAGGUUGGUAAGGAUCUCUGCAAGUUAUCUGGACUUACUGGGUGGAGUUUCUUUUACAUCAGGUAUGCUCAGGUGUGGAAACCGAGUCACAGGGCUGUGCUCAGAGCAAGCUGAGGAUCACAGACCUGUCAUCAGGUGUGAGAACCAGGAAACCUUUGAGUUCUGACUCUGUGUCAUGAACAGUAGUAUCAUGGCCUUUAUUCGUUAAAUGAUCCAUAAAUAAAUUAAAAUCAAGAGAAAGAAAAAAGAAAAAA